rnacentral:lncRNA from 1 species
AUUUGAUGUAUAUACUAUAGUAUAUAAUUCCGUAGAGAUCGUGCAUCAAUAGUUGAGCACAUGUAAAAAAUUGAAUCUGAAAAAAGCUACUAGGAAGCACUUACUCGUUGGAGAAUGAAGAAAUAGAAACAAAAGUUGGUUCAAAUAAUCUGAUUCUGAUUCUGAUUCUGCUUCUGCUUCUAUAAUUAGAAACACACACUCCCUAUGCCAUUUCUCAUUCUUCUCCAAAUCUAAAUAAUCCUCAACAAUGGGUUUGGCUCGUAACUCCUCUUCUCAACCGGAGAUCGACGACGCCACCGCCGCCAACGACGUCGGAUUCCACUCGAUCCGUGGCCGAUUCCCUUUCAAACGAAACCCUACCUAUCACCGACACAGGUCCUUCUCCGAUCGCCAAUUACCACGAACCAACACCACUAUUACCAAUACUAACACCAAUCGAUCUCAUCUUCACAAUCGCUUCACUCGCAAGGGUCUUCUUUGGUUAUUCCCUCUCUUCUUCUUCAAAGGCAAGUCUCGAUUCUACGCUUUGAUUUUUGCGGUUCUCUUUCUUUUUGCACUCGCUUCCUUGGUUAUGCAGAGCUCCAUUGCCUCCGUCUGGCAGCGGACUGAGAAUGGGAGGAAUCUCCGGGAAGGGUUGAAGUUCGGGAGCACGCUUAAGUUUGUGCCCGGAAGGGUUUUGAAGAGGUUUCUCUCCGGCGAUGGGCUUGAUCGUGUUCGGUCUCAGCCUAGGAUCGGUGUUCGUGCUCCCAGGAUAGCUCUUAUUUUAGGUCACAUGAAGAUAGAUCCUCAGUCAUUAAUGUUGGUUACCGUGGUUCAGAAUCUACAGAAAUUGGGAUAUGUUUUUAAGAUAUUUGCAGUAGGGAAUGGGAGGGCCCACUCAAUAUGGGAAAAUUUAGCUGGUGAUCUGUCUCUUUUGAGCACAGAACAACAAGGCCAGACUGAUUGGUCAAUUUACGAAGGCAUCAUUGUUGACUCCCUGGAAGCUAAAGAUGCCAUUUCAAGCCUUAUGCAGAACCCUUUUUGUUCAGUACCAUUGAUAUGGAUUAUUCAAGAAGAUAGCCUUUCAAGUCGUCUACCAUUUUAUAAUAAUAUGGGUUGGGAACAUCUUAUUUCCCAUUGGAGAAGUGCUUUUAGCAGAGCCAGUGUUGUUGUCUUUCCAGAUUUCACUUAUCCGGUAAAGUUAAUGUUAUAAUAUCACACAGACAGGAAUAUGGUCAGUUUUAGAAGUUAUUCUCGAUUAGAGUCGGCCUUAAUUGUUUUGAAGGCAGGAUCUGAGUUAAUAUUUCUUCCUGAAUCAGAUGUUAUACAGUGAGCUCGACACUGGAAACUUCUUUGUGAUUCCUGGAUCGCCAGUAGAUGUGUGGGCUGCAGAAAGCUAUAGUACGGCCCACACAAAGGAUCAGCUCAGAGAACUUAGCGGAUUUGGUAAAAAUGAUAUGGUGGUUGUAGUUGUUGGGAGCUCUAUCUUCUAUGAUGACUUAUCUUGGGACUAUGCGGUGGCAAUGCAUUCCAUAGAGCCUCUGCUGACAAAAUAUGCAAGGAAAAAUGAUGCAGCUGAGUCAUUUAAAUUUGUUUUCUUAUGUGGCAAUGCCACUGAUGGUUAUGAUGAUGCUUUACAGGUAGUCCUUCUUUAAGGUGAGUUGUGCAUGACUAAUUUUUUUAGAGGGUGUGCUUGGCGCAACAGUAAGGUUGUUGCUUAGUGACUGAUAGAGAAGUUGUAGCCGAGAAACAAGAGAUGGGCCUCAACUUUG